CUAACCAUUAAAAUCGGAUGUAAAGAAGUAUGGUUGAGGAUAGAAUUAACCCAUGCAUGUAAUUCUACCCAGAACACACGCUCCAAAUGCAACGAAGCCUGUGAAAGAUUUCAGCUCCUCACUCUAGUGGAGUUAUGAUGAUGACGAGUUCGCAAAUGCUCCAGGUGGCGCCACUCGCAUCACACGCUUCCUCCUCCUCAUCUUCUUCUUCGUCCCAAACCCUCCCAGUCUGGUUCAACCAUUGCCAUUGCCACCCUUUACGGCCUCAGCUCACUCUCCGCCACCGCCCAAGGCCCACAAUACUACUCGCCGGAAACCCAGAUAGGAAGUUGCAAGUUUCAUCGUCUUCGUCGUCAUCUUGGACUACCCAACAAGACCAGGACGAUGAAGAAGAAGAAGAUGAAGACGAUGACCAAGAAGAAGAAGAAGAAAGUGACCCUACUCCUCACGACCUCGAAUACAUCAGCCAAAUCAAAAGGGUGUUGGAGCUUCUUAAGAAGAACAGAGACAUGAUUUUCAAUGAGGUUAAGCUUACCAUAGCGAUUGAGGACAUAAGAGAAGUUGAGCGGAGGAGACUCCUUGGCAUUGAGGAUCCCGAUGCUCCGACCAGAGAAGAGUUGGCUGCUGUUCUUGAAGAAGCUCAGAUUAAACCAGCAAAGAAAAAGCCAGGAAAAUCCCUAUAUGCAAGAGUCACAGACACUGGUAUUGAUCUUAAGAAGGCCGCUAAUAGACUGAACAUUGAUUGGGAUACAGCUGCAGAGAUUGACGAUGCUGAUGUUAAGGAUGAGUCAGAUGUGCCUUCAGUUGUGGUUAAGUUCACCAUCGCGAUUGAGGACAUGAGAGAAGUUGAGCGCAGGAAACUUGUUGGCAUUAAAGAUCCUGAUGCUCCCACCAGGGAACAGUUGGCUGGUGUUCUUGAAGAAGUCCCUCCUUUUGAGUUCCCGGAUCCUCUCCUAGGCUAGUUGUGGUCCUUAGUUUCCUUGACAUAGAAUGCAAUGAAGCUAGGAUCAAAUGGUUAAUGAGGGAAAAAUCCCCAAAAAUCGACUUGCACUUAAACUGCUAGCUGAGGAAAUGAAUUGAUGGCCCAAUCUGGAGGUAUUAUUGUAACUUGAGUUUGUUAAACCAGCAAAGAGAAAGCCAGGAAAAUCACUAUAUGCAAGAGUCACAGACACUGGUAUUGAUCUUAAAGAGGCUGCUAAGAGACUGAACAUUGAUUGGAAUACAGCUGCAGAGAUUGAUGAUGCUGAUGUUAAGGAUGAGUCAGAUGUGCAUUCAGUUGUGGUUAAGAAUCACCAUCGCAAUUGAGGACAUGAGAGAAGUUGAGCUGGAAACUCGUUGGCAUCAAAGGUCCCGAUGCUCCCACCAGGAAACAGUUGGCUGCUGUUCUUGAAGAAGUCCCUCCUUUUAAGUUCCUGGAUUUAGACCCUCUCCUUGCUAGUUUUGGUCCUUGGUUUCCUUGACUUUGAAUCUAGGCCAUUCACCAACCAUCCAAAGACCCAUAAAGAGACACUUCACAGUAUUGUUUUUUAUUCAAACAAAGAAUCCAUUAAUGCAAUGAAUCAAGUAAAGAUCAAA